CCUACGGGUUGCAGCAGUAGGGAAUCUUCCGCAAUGGACGAAAGUCUGACGGAGCAACGCCGCGUGAGUGAAGAAGGUUUUCGGAUCGUAAAGCUCUGUUGUUAAGGAAGAACACCAUGGAUAGGAAAUGAUCGAUGGAUGACGGUACUUAACCAGAAAGCCACGGCUAACUACGUGCCAGCAGCCGCGGUAAUACGUAGGUGGCAAGCGUUAUCCGGAAUUAUUGGGCGUAAAGCGCGCGUAGGCGGUUUCUUAAGUCUGAUGUGAAAGCCCCCGGCUCAACCGGGGAGGGUCAUUGGAAACUGGGGAACUUGAGUACAGAAGAGGAGAGUGGAAUUCCAUGUGUAGCGGUGAAAUGCGCAGAGAUAUGGAGGAACACCAGUGGCGAAGGCGGCUCUCUGGUCUGAAACUGACGCUGAGGUGCGAAAGCGUGGGGAUCAAACAGGAUUAGAUACCCGAGUAGUC
rnacentral:rRNA from 1 species